CGUGGAAACCAGCUUUUAGUAGCUCUGAAUGGCAGCUUCCAGCCCCAGGAAAACCAAAUAUUUGGGGCUAAAGUUAUACAAGGCGGUACACUGUUGGUAAUCGGGAGUAAAUGAGGCGUUAAGGAGGAACCAGCUGUUCGUGGAGCAGAACUGCAGCGCCCACGAGGAGCGAGGCUGCGCCCCGGGUGGCAGAAGCUUUUCUGUUCCUCCUUUUCUUUUUUUGGCUCUACCUUGCAGCACUUGCAGGCAAAUGAAAGGGGGGAAAUGACAGAGAGAUGUGAGACUCAGUUCUGACGGCUGUAGUAUUGCAUGUAGGUUUCCCGGUGGAGAAAGCACUGCAAUGUAUCUUAAAUAUUUUUAGGGUAAAAGGCCCAUUGAGCAAAGAUUAACCGUUCUGGAGCACUAACACUGCAUGAAAAGGCAUCAUUAUAUUUGGCAAGUGCUGCUUUCUGUCGACAGCAACCUGUUAUUUGACUUUAGUUAUUUAUUUUUGUUAAAUGAGGGGUACAUUUCCAUGUGAUACAUUUUUAAAGUGUUAGCUUGAGGAAUGGGAUGUAGUUCAGGGGACACGGGGGCUAUUACCUGGUUUGCCUGUCUCUCUAACACGUGCUGCUCAUCACUGCAUCCUUUUUCAUCUUGAAGCUCUCUGGAGCGGCUGACACCCUGUGUUUGUAGGUCAGGCAGCAGCAGAAACACGCUUUCCUUUAAGUACCUCACUUAGGAGCAGGAUAUGGAAAUGAUCCAAUUAAUCAUCUAUGAUCUCUCACAAGCACAUUAGAAUGAGAUCACAGUGUUCAUCCAAAGGAAAUCUUUUCCACGGCUGCACUUAAUUUUGUUGAAUAGUCUCGGUGCUGUCACAUCCUGACUCUCCUGUACCUUUUGGUUCACGCUCAGGCUUCUCUUGUUCUUAGUCCCUUCACUCAAUUAAUCCUUCUUCCUUACGUUAGCCCUGAAAUGUCAUCUUCUGCACCGGCUCAACAUGUCUGUUUUCUGAUUAAUCUGCCUCCUGCCUGAGCUCUGAGCCCAUUUAAAAAGCCUCAGCAGCCUGGGACUUCCUACGAGGUUUUCCAUUUCCUUUUCUUAUUUACUCUAGAAAAUUGCUGAUGGAAGAAAAAAAAGAAGUUUCCCCUUUGCUCAUGGAAAAUACAUCAGAAACUGAAUAUAGCUUCAAGGAAUAGCUGAGGUCCAUCUGGCUGAAGCAGGAAGGCAGAAACAAAAAGAGGAAGAUGAGAGUGAGAACAUCUGGAUUUCGGUCCCAAGAUACCCAUGUAAUAGACUGAAACACUGAAAUACCUAAAACCACGGUGUUCUUAUUCGCCCUGGUGCACGUGGGUCCUGGUUGAAUAAGAGGGAUAGAGAAAAGGGAGAGAGAAAAAGCAGAGAUCAUAUAGAAUAUCAACUAAUGUCAAGUUAUCAUCCAGAAACCUGUUUCCUACAGUGUGUUCUUUCCUCGCUCCCUGACUUGGGUUGUUCUGAAACGCUCGCCCUGGUGCCUCGUUACAAAGCUCCAGCAUCUUCACGAUGAAAUAGGGUCCAGCAAGUCUGGGGUUCUGCUGGAGCCAGGAGAUGCUGGAGCAGGUCUCUGUUCUGCCCAGCCUGUCCUGUGACCUUGGGAAGCCUCUUCGUGGGUCUCCGUUCUUCAUCUGCGAGAGCCGGUACCACCUCCCCGCCACUGCUGUGGGGGCAAAAGCACUCGGGAGGUGCAGGUGCUCGGAUGUGGUACAGCACAAUGGCACUGUGUGAGUUUUCUGCACCGAAACACUUGGAGGUGACUUAAAAAGCAAAUACAUAGUAUUUUAAUGGUUGGAUGUGUUUAUCACUGUACCACAGCCGUAUCUCAUGAUGUAAGUAACAGUUAUAAAAGCACUUUAAGCUUAUUUGACAGUAAAUGUGUUGUGGCUAUUUUCUAUCUCUUCCCCUCGUAUUUUAAACUCCUGAGCUGUGUCAUCGCUAUUUGUCAGCAUCGGAACUCCAGCGGGGUGUGCAGAACUGUGCUGGGUGCGAGGGAGAAGUCAGUGCCUGACGGAGGAGCGGGUUUGGGGGCACACGGCCAGGACGCUGCUCGGCCCGUCCCAGCUCAUUUCACAUUCUGUGGCAGAAUUCAAUUUGGACACCCUGGGAGAAGGAAGGUUUCAGGAUCAGACUCAUAAGCCAGAAGGAACCACUGUGAAGUCUGAACUGACCUCUCGAGACUGCAGGGACAAAAUACUUCCCAGCCAAACCUGCUGUGUAUGGAAUGAUGUGCUGCAGAACUACGGGGUCUGAUCGGAGGUGAACUGCUGUCCUGGAGCACCAGAACAGUCAUGUUAAAAAUAAACACGACUUGCACCAGAUUCCUCAGCCACCUCGCUCCGUGCCGUGCAGGAGACCUGCCGAAAGUUUGGUGCUGUUUGGGCGAGUGCAUCGCACGCUGAGGCCUGUGCGACGGGAUGGUGUUGAUGGCAUCUCUGCCCAUUGCCAUCAUUUCUCCUUGAGCGGCAUCUGGGGAAGAAGAUGAAGACCUCUGUGGGGGCCCCUUGUCCAGUAGCAUGGAGACUGCGCAGAGGAGGGAGAGGGCUCCGGGGUGGACAUACCCUCCCCGAGUCGGGAGACAGCAGCAUCCACGGGGUGACGGGGCAGCAGAACCUCCAUGUGCCGGGGGAGAUCUGACAGUGAUCACCAAGGAAACUAAAAAAUGUUGGUGGCUCUCCACAUCUCCAGCAAAGUUGAGUUUGAUGCUGCUGGCGGGGGGCAACGGGCUUCACUUGGGUCAGGGACAAGAAGCAUCAAGUAGUCCCAGCUGUUUCUCAAGAACAAAUUUGGAAAAUUGUAUAGUGUCUCCGAAAGCUGAAAUCCCCAGAGUGGUGCACGUAACAUAACAAACAGAAGGAUGCUCGUUAUUGGUGUGGCUUCUAGCAAGCAAAAGUGCCCGUCAGAUGGGGAAGAAAAAAACAGUGUUUGGAGCAAGCCCCGAGCUGAAUAACGCUGAGAUGGAGCUACCGGGGUCUUUCUGCUGAUGGUGGCCUGCACCCUCACCGGCAGCAGGAGAGGGCCCAGGGUGAAAAAGAGCACAGCAAGUCUCAGGAGUGGGAUAUAGACUGAUCGCGGCAGAGACGAUGUGUGCUGUCAGGAAUAAAAAGGGAAUAUCCCAGAGCCCUCACUGGACAAAGAGCCUCCUCCAUCCCUGCAGCUCCCUGUGCCGGGGGUGGAAGAGGGACCAGGGAAGACACACAGGGAUGAUCACAAGGCAUCUUCGUGGCUUCGAUGCAGAAUGCAUUAUGUAUCCCAUGGGCUUGUGUCUGGCCAGGUAAUUCAGCUGCUUAAUAGUACAUGUUCCACAAAUGGCUUUGAAAAGAUUGUCUCCCAAAAUUUUAGUCUAAACUGUCUGAUGAAGCGGUCACCAGCACAGCAGUGGUUCCAUGCGGAAUCCACGAGGACUAACCACGGUGUCACCCACAGCCGAGGACGGGGUCCCCUGUGGUCACCCCAAAAGGAGGGUGUGAGGCUGGGGGG